UUUUUACUCCCUCUGUCCAAAAAUACUUGUCAUCAAAAUGGAUAAAAAAAUAUAUAUCUAGAACUAAAAUACUUCUAGAUACAUUUCCUUUUAUCCAUUUUGAUGACAAGUAUUUCCGGACGGAGGGAAUAUAAA
rnacentral:pre_miRNA from 1 species